AUUGAACGCUGGCGGCAUGCUUUACACAUGCAAGUCGAACGGUAACAGGCCGCAUUGUUCUGACGAGUGGCUAACGGGCGGGUAAUUCAUCGGAACGUUCCCUGCCGUGGGGGUUAACUACUCUAAAGAGUAGCUAAUACAGCAUACGAUCUAUGUAUGAAAUCCGUGGACCGUAAUGCCACGCUCCAUUGGAGCGGCCGAUGUCCGAUUAGGUUGUUGGUGUGGUAAAGGCUUACCCAUCCAACGAUCUGGAGCUGGUCUGAGAGUGCGACCAGCCACACUGGAACUGGACCACGGCCAAGACUCCUACGGGAGGAAGCAGUGGGGAAUUUUGGACAAUGGGCGCAAGCCUGAUCCAGCAAUGCCGCGUGCAGGACGAAGGCCUUCGGGUUGUAAACUGCGUUUGUACGGAACGAAACGGCUCUGGUUAAUACCCGGGGAUAAUGACGGUACCGUAAGAAUAAGCACCGGCUAACUACGUG
rnacentral:rRNA from 1 species